rnacentral:lncRNA from 1 species
CGUGGUCCCACAAUAAAGUGCACAGGUGAAUUAAAUAAAAACAAUAUAAAAUUCGUGUUUUCUUGAUCAUAGCUAAAAAAAUGUAAUUAUAAGUAUUGAAUGCUUCUUUUUGUAACUUCAUAGGGUUGUAAAAGCGUUGACCGUGCGCACAUUUUUAGAAUGAAGCGCUUCCGCGCUUCAUACAAAAUGUACUUCGGUCAACGCUUUUACACCCCAAUGAAUUUACAAAAAGAAGCAUUCAAUUCUUAAUUGAUUA